UUGUUUGUUUUAGCUUUCUCAUGGUGCUGAGUGUGUCUGUAGUUAAACAGCCCCUUGUCUUCAUUCCCAGGAGCCAGCUGAGGAGGUGUGUCAUGCAACUUGCCCCCCCAGCCCUCCCCUUCUAAGGAACCCCCACACCUGCUCUGUCUUCCUGCUACAGUCUCUGAGAAAAGCCCUUUCAUCUGUCAAGAACUACAAAAGUCAUUCUUUAAGCAGUGCUAAAUAAACAAUGAAACAGACACAAAGUUAAAGUUACCUGAUCCAAAAAGGAGUGAAGCCUAGACCCCAGCCCACUGACUCAGUCUCUAAGACCCCUCACUCAAAUCUUCAAUCAACAGUGGAGAUGGCUGUGAGCUCUUCUGAUUCCAGAUGACAAUACUCCUCCCUUUAAUUCCUUGAUAUGUUUAAUUAUGUAAGUAAAUUUAAUAUAAAAAUCAUUGCAUUAGAGUUCAUUGUUUUUAUACAAGAUUCAGUGUGAGAUCAAUGUUAUACUUCCAAUUUGUCACACUUACAGAGAACUGAGAAGAAUCACAUUAUUUAAAAUCUUAGCAAAUGUGCAUAAUUCCUUUGGAUAAUUUUAAAGUGAUAGGAUUGGAUCACAUAUGAUGCAAUUGCCUGGGUCUGUUUUGUUUUUAGUUGUAUUUGUCUCUCAUAUUGUGAAUCUCAUAUUUAUGUGACUAAUUAUCAGAAGAUUUUAUCUUUAUUAUGCAUAUUUAGUAUAAAAUGAUCAUACAGUGAAGAGUGUGUAAAAUCAAAAUAAAAUGCCAUUCAUCACC